AACGAACGCUGGCGGCAGGCCUAACACAUGCAAGUCGAGCGAGGACUUCGGUCCUAGCGGCGGACGGGUGAGUAACGCGUGGGAACGUGCCCUUUGCUUCGGAAUAGCCCUGGGAAACUGGGAGUAAUACCGGAUGAGCCCUUUGGGGGAAAGAUUUAUCGUCGAAGGAUCGGCCCGCGUUGGAUUAGGUAGUUGGUGGGGUAAUGGCCUACCACGCCGACGAUCCAUAGCUGGUUUGAGAGGAUGAUCAGCCACACUGGGACUGAGACACGGCCCAGACUCCUACGGGAGGCAGCAGUGGGGAAUCUUAGACAAUGGGGGAAACCCUGAUCUAGCCAUGCCGCGUGAGCGAUGAAGGCCUUAGGGUUGUAAAGCUCUUUCAGCUGGGAAGAUAAUGACGGUACCAGCAGAAGAAGCCCCGGCUAACUCCGUG
rnacentral:rRNA from 1 species